CAAAGGCAGAACGGCGAACUCAUCUCCCCUGUUUUUUGAAGGUAAUCACAGUUUUUCAAAGAAGGUAAACAAUAUAUGGUUUCAUAUCUCUCUCUAUCUCCCCUGUUUUUCAAAUAAGGUAAACCCUAAAUCGAAUGACAAACUCUACGAAGUGGAAGAAGAAACCCAGAAGGUAAACCCUAAAUCGAAAGGGCAAAUGAAGCGUUUCAGCAGCUAAAUCGAAAGGGCAAAUGAAGCAUUAGUCUGAUAAGGGAGCUUCGUCUGAUCUGCAAUAGGGAGGAGAGAGGAUUAUGAAGAAGAAGUCAGCAGAGAGAGAAGAUUAUGAACAGGAAGUUCAACAGAGAGAGGAUACUAUGAAGGAAAAGAAAAAUAUUGGACAAAUGGUCCCUCAACACAAUGUACCAGUGUUAACACUCAGCCAAGUCGACUUAGACUUGCCAAUCGAUUCGGCCUUGGAACCGCCAAUUAAUUCGGCCUUGGAACCCUGCCGAGGCCAGUUCUCCACGUGCACUUGGGAUUAUUGUAAAGGUCUUAAAAAUUAUUUUUAUUUUACUAAAUGACCAAUAAAUGAUGCAAAAAUAUGUUUCUGUA